ACUUAAAUUGAAGAGUUUGAUCAUGGCUCAGAUUGAACGCUGGCGGCAGGCCUAACACAUGCAAGUCGAGCGGUAGCACAGAGAGCUUGCUCUCGGGUGACGAGCGGCGGACGGGUGAGUAAUGUCUGGGAAACUGCCUGAUGGAGGGGGAUAACUACUGGAAACGGUAGCUAAUACCGCAUAACGUCGCAAGACCAAAGUGGGGGACCUUCGGGCCUCAUGCCAUCAGAUGUGCCCAGAUGGGAUUAGCUAGUAGGUGGGGUAACGGCUCACCUAGGCGACGAUCCCUAGCUGGUCUGAG
rnacentral:rRNA from 1 species